UUGUCUCAAAGAUUAAGCCAUGCAUGUCUCAGUACAUACCGAAUUAAGGUGAAACCGCGAAAGGCUCAUUAUAUCAGUUAUGGUUCAUUAGAUCGUACCUCACAUUUACUUGGAUAACUGUGGUAAUUCUAGAGCUAAUACAUGCAAACAGAACUCCGACCGGAGACGGAAGGAGCGCUUUUAUUAGAUCAAAACCGAUGGGCGUCGGCGGCCGGCGUUCGCGCCGCGUCGUCGUCGUCGCAUAGCUCUCACGAUGAAUCUGAAUAACUUUAUGCCGAUCGCACGGUCAAGCACCGGCGACGCAUCUUUCAAAUGUCUGCCUUAUCAACUUUCGAUGGUAGGUUAUGCGCCUACCAUGGUUGUAACGGGUAACGGGGAAUCAGGGUUCGAUUCCGGAGAGGGAGCCUGAGAAACGGCUACCACAUCCAAGGAAGGCAGCAGGCGCGCAAAUUACCCACUCCCGGCACGGGGAGGUAGUGACGAAAAAUAACGAUACGGGACUCAUCCGAGGCCCCGUGAUCGGAAUGAGCACACUUUAAAUCCUUUAACUAGGAUCAAUUGGAGGGCAAGUCUGGUGCCAGCAGCCGCGGUAAUUCCAGCUCCAAUAGCGUAUAUUAAAGUUGCUGCGGUUAAAAAGCUCGUAGUCGAAAUUGUGUCCCGGGCCGCCGGUUCGUCGCUCGCGACGUCAACUGGCGCGCACGCGGGACGUCCAGCCGGUGCUCGAACCCGCCGACGGUGCUCUUAACCGAGUGUCCAGGCGGGGGCCGGCAACGUUACUUUGAACAAAUUAAAGUGCUCAAAGCAGGCUAAACUGCGCUCGCAUAAUCAGUGCAUGGAAUAAUCGAAUAGGACCUCUGUUCUAUUUUGUUGGCUUUUGUAGAACAAACAGAGGUAAUGAUCAAUGGGUGCGGAUGGGGGCAUUCGUAUUGCGACGUUAGAGGUGAAAUUCUUGGAUCGUCGCAAGACGCACUAAAGCGAAAGCAUUUGCCAAAAACGCUUUCAUCGAUCAAGAACGAAAGUUAGAGGUUCGAAGGCGAUCAGAUACCGCCCUAGUUCUAACCAUAAACUAUGCCAGCCAGCGAUCCGCCGAAGUUACUACUAUGACUCGGCGGGCAGCUACCGGGAAACCAAAGCUUUUGGGUUCCGGGGGAAGUAUGGUUGCAAAGCUGAAACUUAAAGGAAUUGACGGAAGGGCACCACCAGGAGUGGAGCCUGCGGCUUAAUUUGACUCAACACGGGAAACCUCACCAGGCCCGGACACCGAAAGGAUUGACAGAUUGAGAGCUCUUUCUUGAUUCGGUGGGUGGUGGUGCAUGGCCGUUCUUAGUUGGUGGAGCGAUUUGUCUGGUUAAUUCCGAUAACGAACGAGACUCUGCCCUGCUAAAUAGGCGAUAAACACGACGGCGCCGCUAAGGCGUCCGUCGCGUAACAGACAUCUCGAAGGCCCGUCU
rnacentral:rRNA from 1 species